rnacentral:rRNA from 1 species
UACGUAGGGGGCAAGCGUUGUCCGGAAUCAUUGGGCGUAAAGAGCGUGUAGGCGGCCCGAUAAGUCCGCUGUGAAAGUCCAGGGCUCAACCCUGGAAUGCCGGUGGAUACUGUCGGGCUUGAGUUCGGAAGAGGUGAGUGGAAUUCCUGGUGUAGCGGUGAAAUGCGCAGAUAUCAGGAGGAACACCAAUGGCGAAGGCAGCUCACUGGGACGAUACUGACGCUGAGACGCGAAAGCGUGGGGAGCAAACAGG